GACGAACGCUGGCGGCGUGCCUAAUACAUGCAAGUCGAGCGGACGGAUGGGAGCUUGCUCCCAGACCGUCAGCGGCGGACGGGUGAGUAACACGUGGGCAACCUGCCUGUAAGACUGGGAUAACUCCGGGAAACCGGGGCUAAUACCGGAUAACUCUUUCCCUCACAUGAGGGAAAGCUGAAAGAUGGCAUCUCGCUAUCACUUACAGAUGGGCCCGCGGCGCAUUAGCUAGUUGGUGAGGUAACGGCUCACCAAGGCGACGAUGCGUAGCCGACCUGAGAGGGUGAUCGGCCACACUGGGACUGAGACACGGCCCAGACUCCUACGGGAGGCAGCAGUAGGGAAUCUUCCGCAAAGGACGAAAGUCUGACGGAGCAACGCCGCGUGAGUGAUGAAGGUGUUCGGAUCGUAAAACUCUGUUGUCAGGGAAGAACAAGUACCGGAGCAACUGCCGGUACCUUGACGGUACCUGACCAGAAAGCCACGGCUAACUACGUG
rnacentral:rRNA from 1 species